rnacentral:lncRNA from 12 species
GUAAAUCAUAAGGUGGAAAUGGCUCAUUAUGUUAGUGAUGAGGCCGGGUAAUGCCUGCUUGACCAGCCCAGCAUCUGUCAGACGAAGAUGCAUUGAUUAACCCUUAUCCAUUACCCUUCAACCAUAGAAAGAGAUGCCGCAGACAAAUAGAUAUCACUUUAAAGUUACAGUAAUAUCACUGGAUGCUCUGAUGCAUACUUACAGACAGAAUAUUCAAAGGAUUUAUUGUAGUUUGUCUGUGAUUUAACCAACAAAAUAAAUAAGUUAUACAUAUAAUAUUAAACGGUGCACCUGGAAUUCGUAGCAUCAAAGUGUGUAUAAAUAAAGCCCAUUAGAGCUACAUUGUCUCAUUGCAGGCCGAGUUAUACGCUGUUCCUCGAGAAUACAGUCAGCAGUUUUUGUCACCUGUUUACCCCUGAUUCUUUGCUCUCAUUGGAUUUGAAUGGCUAAUGAGGGAUAGAAGUAUGCAUUGGUGUGUUGUAGCACUUAUUUUUUGUGUAUUUCCUACUUUGUGUUUAAACGGCAUCUGUUUGCAGUGCAUAUUUGGGCAAGGAGGAAAAGAGAAUGAUAUCCCACGCCACAAGUCUCUAUCUGCUCCACCAGGACCGUUGAACACUUUAAUAAGGCCCAACCUUGAUGAAGCUGUCAGGGCUGGAAGACACACGAGGGGUUAGACGUACGCUUUCAAACACGCGUGACCUCACGCUGAUGAGCCUAAUUUACACAUCCUCAAGGCCUUUCCCCUGAGCCCACCAAUCACAAUACCCUCCCACUUGACCUGCGACCCUCCACGGGGGUCUCCCAUUGGCUGCGUAGUGAAAGGAAAGAGGGAGACAUCCCUGCUGCUCAUCUCCAUCACAAUGGCAGCAUAUGUUUGUGGGCAUUUGAGCGCAUGGAGCUGGCAGAGUCCAUAUUAGACUGACGACAGAGACCAGGUGCCUGAACCCCACACACUCGGAGACCAAAGAGAAAGUCAACACUUUUAGUAACACUUCUUCUCUGAUUUAUAACCGAAACCGCUGGAGCUAGAAAGAGCUCUCUGUAUGCUUGUUUAGUGGGCAGGUUGAUGUAAACUUUGAUGGGAUCAUAUGCACUUUGGCAUUGUGUUCUAUGGAGUUGUAGAUGUUGAUUGAUUAUGGACUGUGAGAUAGUUAUAUCACUGAGUGUGUCUGGGUUACAGGAUUUCACUCGGUGCCCCGUGCAAACAGCUUACUGCUGAUUAAACAUUGAUUUUCCUCUGCACCCUCUCACCCUGAUAAAUAGAGCAUUAAGAGGGCUCCACAAAUAAUAACAUUGUGGAAUAAUAAAAUUUGUUAUAUCUGGGGAACCACAAUGCUUUGAGUAAUAUCUUGAAUUAUUGAAUUUUGAUAAUCUUGCAUAGCGCAAGUGAAGGUUAUUAUCACCUACAGUCUGCUGACAUAUCCUUACCAUAUUUUAAUGAGAAUAAAUAUAUAUAUAUAUAUAUAUAUAUAUAUAUAUAUAUAUAUAUAUAUAUAUAUAUAUAUAUAUAUAUAUAUAUAUAUAUAUAUAUAUAUAUAUAUAUAUAUAUAGUAUUGUAUUUUCUGCAGGUUUCCUUGUGAACAGCCAUGGAAGUGAGGUGAAAGAGAGCGAGGAGGAAGUGAGGGUAAAGGCAAGUUUAGCUUGCAGAGCAGGCUCUACCUCUAUCAUGGUAAGUGAACUCCUCCUAAUUACUAUUCAAUAAACUCCCGUUAAAUUAACAGCUCAAUAGGCAACAACA